CUGCUCCAGCAUUGAGCUGUAAACCAAUCCAUCCUUUCAUCAGAGGGGAACAGGUGCCCCUGCUCCUGGUCACAGCCAGCGGAAGAAGAAAGUCAGGGCUGGAAAAGGCCUGGCCCCUCCCUCAUCUCCUCUGCAAGCUGGCUGGGGACAGGAAGCCAACUGCCAUGCUGUGAGCUGCCCUGUGGAGAGCACCACAUGGCGAGGCACUGAGGGUGGCCCCUGGCCGACCACCUUGAGGAACUGAAUCCUGCCAAUGACCUUGGGAGUGACCUUGGAAGAACACCCGCCCACAGGGGAGCCUUCAGAUGAGACCAGCCCUGGGUUUCCAGGCUGUCUGGAAAGCCGUGCCCAGAUUUCCAAUCCACAGAAACUUAAGAGGAGGAGAAACUGACAUCUGGAGAGGGAGAUAACAGAACCCAGCAGUCCUGCCUCUCUGGCCAGCACCAGUUCGUCUCACCUGCCUGGCCAUUUAUUCCAGAGUGAACUCAGAAUGACAGGAGUUGUGGUCCCUGGUCCAACACUUAUGAUGUGGCCCUAGGGACAUUUCUGACACAACAUUCCAACCCUGCUGCCUGAGCUGAUCCUGCAUCAAGUCGGGGCUGAUCCAGGAGAGGCAGAUUGGAACAGUAUGGAGUGACAGCCUUGGACAGCAGCUUGUCCCUGCCCCAGCUAGUUCCCACUUCCCCGGGGAGCGGUCCUGGGCCUCUGGACCACCUAGGCUGGCAGCAGACAGCUGGAGAGAGACCACCCAGAUGAGCUCCUCCUCUGCAAAACACACGGGCACCACUACCAGCCCGCCUCGAGGUGUCCUGCCUCUGCAAAACCGCCAUCCAGAGGCAGCAGUGCCCUCUGACCCAACCCCGUGCUGCCCCCAGCUGCCAGGGAGGUCGAGGUCAGCAGAGUACGGGCUGGGUGAAGGUCAUCGGCGGAGCACUGCAGACCCACCAGGGCCUGGGAAGAGGAUGCAGGGCACGGAGACUUCUGACACCCCAAGGAGCCCCUCACUGGCUCCCACCCACGGGAGGCCCCGCAAAAGGAAAACACCCAUGCCUCUGGCGCUGCCAUCGCCAUGGCCACUACGAGCACUGUAGGAUCACAGCGAGCUGCCCCUGCCUCCAAAAUGUGCCCGCCUAGCCACUGCUGAAGACCUGGGCACCGGGGAGGACAGCACUGACUCUGACUGUCGGAGAAACACCACCCAGAAGGUCAUGGCCAACGGCAGGGGCCCUCAACCAGCCCCUUCCUUCUCUCCACAUGCCCCGGAGGCUGCAGGCUCCCUGACCUCGACCAGUCACAACUUACAGAUCCCUGCUCCCAACGCCAACGUGGAUGGCCUGUCUAACAGGCCCCUCAUCCCACCAGUCCCACACGAGGCCAUGGGCAGCACAACCGCUGGCCUGAAGGCUGACUCUGACUCCGAAGACGAACCACACGAUGCCAUGGGAGGCACAAUGGCCUCGGCCCCACCCCCAACUUGGACUACGACCGAAUGGACAUGCCACCGCCCUCGCGGACAGCACCUACAAUUCUCCCCUGGCCACAGACAAGGCUGUGGGCAGCACAACCGCCAACCUGAAGGCUGACUCCGACUCCGAUCCAAUGGACACAAUGCCCCCCUCUCUGGCCGCCAUCUCCUGGUCCCCCACCCCCAGGCCCCAGACAAAGCCGUGGGCAGUACAACCGCUGGCCUGAAGGCUGACUCCGACUCCGAACCAAUGGACACAACACCACCCUCGGUGGCCGUCAUCUCCCGGUCCCCUCCAACCCCACAUGAUACUGUGGGCAGCACAACCGCCAGCCUCCCACCCACCUCAGACUCCCACCGCAUGGGCAGUCAUUAUCCGGUCUCCCCUGGCCCCACACGAUGCCGUGGGAGGCACAGACAAUGGCCUCGGCCCUACCCCUAACUCAGACUCCGACCUGAUGUACAUGCCACCACCCUCACCAACGGCACCUACAGGUCUCUCCCAGCUCCAGACAAGGCCUAUGUCCAUUUAUAGGGGCUUCACAUCCUCCUAUCCAUUUAACACAAUCUUUCUCGGUAUAUGUGUGUAUAUUAUAUAUUCACACUAAACGCUGUUCUUGCUAAUA